rnacentral:snRNA from 1 species
UCAAAUGAAAAUAUACAGAGAAGAUUAGCAUGGCCCCUGCACUAAGGAUGACGUACACUAAUCAAAGAGAAGCAGACUAUUUUU